UUAUCAAAAACAUGUCUUUUUGCAUUUAAAUAUAAAGUCUAACCUGCCCAUUGAAUAUUUUUAAAAGGCUGCAGUAUUUUGACUGUACAAAGGUAGCAUAAUCAUUAGUUUUUUAAUUGGAAGCUUGUAUGAAUGGUUGAAUGAGAUAUUAGCUGUUUCAAAAAAAUUAAAAUAGAAAUUAACUUUUUAGUUAAAAGGCUAAAAUAAAUUUAAAAGACGAGAAGACCCUAUAGAGUUUUAUAUUUUUAUUUUAUUUAUUAAUUUAUAAGUUUUUUAAUUUAUAAAAUAAAAAUAUUUUGUUGGGGUGACAAUAAAAUUUAUUAAACUUUUAUUAAUUUUUUACAUUAAUUAUUGAAUAUUUGAUCCAGUUUUAUUGAUUAAAAGAUUAAAUUACCUUAGGGAUAACAGCGUAAUUUUUUUUUAGAGUUCUUAUCGAUAAAAAAUUUUGCGACCUCGAUGUUGGAUUAAGAUAAAUUUAAGGUGUAGAAGCUUUAUGAUUAGGUCUGUUCGACCUUUAAUUUCUUACGUGAUCUGAGU
rnacentral:rRNA from 1 species